GCUCUCCAUUCAUCAUCCCCUGCCAUCACCUCACCCCCGUCCCAAAUCCGCGGCGACCUCAAUAGAAAACUAAAAGCCGCCUCCUUUACCUAACGGAGAAGCAAAAAUUCGCGGAUUGCCCCGUCCGAUCGCCGGGGAAUCGACCCGACGCGGCCCGACCGAACGGCUCAUGGCCGGAACCGAGCGGCCCCACCGCCCGAUCGGCGCGCCGCGGCCAGGCGCCGGCGGCGGCGACUCGCCGGCGAGGUGGGACGACGACGGCGGCCGCGUCGAAGGCCUGGCUGGAUUCAAUAUAUUUGACCAAGAGGAAGAAGAGUCACCAGACAAAAAUGGCACAGCCAACGGCCAUGAUACAACCGAAACUGUCAUAGAGACAGAACCAGGAAAGUGUUUCUAUGAUGAACCGCUUCACGAGCAUACAGGCAUCUGGGUGCCUGUUUCUGUCCCUCCGAUGACUGCGCAGGACCGUGAGGAGUGGCACAGGGGGUUUGGUUACAAUAGCGGGUACUUCCCGGAAGAAGAGUUUAGCUGGGAGCUGGAUGAAGAGAAUAAAGAGAUGACAAUGUGGGAUGUGUUUGCCGAUAUGGUUGUUGCAGCAAAAGAUAAAGUGAUAUCUGCUGCAACAUAUGAUUUUGGGAGGUGCGGGAUGUCAGUGGUAUCCAACUUCUUUCUCCAAGAAGCCUGGAAGGAUAUGGCGCAAACACUUGCAGAUGCCAAUGCUGGUAUUGCAAACGAGCUACUUGAGACAGAGCCAACAAAGUGGUUGCCUGACAGUGCUGCUACCUCUUGCAUGCUCUGUGGCAUGCGGUUUCAUCCUAUAAUGUGCUCUCGCCAUCAUUGUCGUUUCUGUGGUGGAGUAUUUUGCAAUGGUUGUACAAAGGGUAGAAGCUUAAUGCCUCCAAAAUUUAGGACUUCAGAACCUCAAAGGGUUUGUGAUGUCUGUGGAGUGCGGCUUGAGAGUAUACAACCACAAUUGAUGAAUCAGAUCAGUCGUGCAUCUCAACUUCCAACUCGGGAUGUGACAGACCUGAGUACCUUGAGGUCAUGGUUGAACUUCCCUUGGGCACACACAAUGGAAUAUGAGAUAUACAAAGCUGCAAAUUCUUUACGCAGCUACUGCAAGGUGGGAAGACUGAAGCCAGAGAAGGCUAUCCCUGAUGCUAUUCUUAGACAAGCAAAAGGUUUUGCUAUAGUUACUGUGGUAAAGGUCGGAAUGAUGGUUACAUAUAAGCUUGGUACUGGGCUGGUUGUUGCUCGAAGGGCUGAUGGCUCCUGGUCACCUCCUUCAGCAAUCUCCACCUGUGGUGUUGGAUAUGGAGCUCAGGCUGGAGGUGAGAUAGCUGACUUCAUCAUUGUGCUGAGGAAUACGGAUGCCAUCAGAACAUUCAGUGGGAAGGCACAUCUAUCUGUUGGUGCUGGUGUUAGUGCUUCUGCUGGUCAUGUCGGACGAGUAGCUGAGGCUGACUUCCGUGCUGGUGAUGGUGGUUAUGCUGCAUGUUACACAUACAGUUGUAGCAAAGGUGAUCAAGUUUUGAGCUACCAUGGGCUUGUUCUUGUUUGUGGAAAUUAGCAAUGCUAAAGGCGUUAUGAUAAGCUUAAGGAAAGCUGGGAGCACUGGGCAAUUUUCUUUCACAAGGCCAAGGCAGGUGCCUUUGUGGGCUGUGCAUUCAAUGGCAGCAUAGUAUCAACUCGAGACACUGAGAACGCUCGAUUUUACGGCGGCCCUGUCAAGGCCGCUGACAUCCUUCUCGGAUCCAUGGCCAGGCCGCCUGCAGCCUCCCCUCUGUACAAAGCUCUUUCAGAAUUGAUGGACAGGGUUGGGAAGUAACCCUCUCAUGCUUUAGGCAUCUGGCAUGCUAUCACCGCCUCCUUGUAAAUACAUUCAGGGCUUCAGAUUUGUGCUCAUCACACAUUCAUUGGAAGCGAUUUCGCAACUGUACAGUAUGCCAUUCUUCAACACAUCAAGGCUCUCUUCUUUGAUUAGUGUUUAGUGGGUUCCAAAAACAAACCCACUUUGUAAAUACUUGUACAUUGGAUUGACAAUUGCAACAUGAUAUUGGUAUGAAAGAGAAAAAA